rnacentral:rRNA from 1 species
GUGGGGAAUAUUGCACAAUGGAGGAAACUCUGAUGCAGCGACGCCGCGUGAGCGAUGAAGGUUUUCGAAUCGUAAAGCUCUGUCCUAAGGGACGAUAAUGACGGUACCUUAGGAGGAAGCCCCGGCUAACUACGUGCCAGCAGCCGCGGUAAUACGUAGGGGGCGAGCGUUGUCCGGAUUUAUUGGGCGUAAAGGGUGCGUAGGCGGCCUUGUAAGUCAGAUGUGAAAUCUCACGGCUUAACCGUGGUAAGCAUUUGAAACUGUGAGGCUUGAGUACAGGAGAGGAGAGUGGAAUUCCUAGUGUAGCGGUGAAAUGCGUAGAUAUUAGGAGGAAUACCAGUGGCGAAGGCGACUCUCUGGACUGUAACUGACGCUGAGGCACGAAAGCGUGGGGAGCAAACAGGAUUAGAAACCCUAGUAGUCC